CGGAUAUAAAAACCGGAGGUAGGAAUGUUUAUCACUCCAGGACUCUCGUCGUCUCCGUCGCAUCUGCUUUCUUUGCAUCCAUUCCAGAGCUCUCCAGUUGAAGACAUGGACGGCUUGCUUGGGAAAUACCUCUUCGUGGUGGUUGCUGCCACACUUGCUGCACUGAUUAUGGCCCCACACGAAGCGGAGGCAAUUCCGGGAAUUCCAACCUUGAUCGUGGACGCUAUUACAAAGGCCGUUGGACGAAAUGAACAAAAAGUCGAGUAGCAAAGCAUCAGUCCUCGCGGUACAAGAUGGCCGAUCUGCGUUCCGUUGAAGACAACCGUUUCGUAACUGAAUAAAAUGAAUGACAAACAAAUGGCCCGAAAUGAAUGAACUGCACAUUAUUAAAAACAAACUUUCUUUUUUUUGCUGAA